rnacentral:misc_RNA from 1 species
UCAAGUGCGGCAUAGACCCUUGGCCCGAGACCCGGUUUCUUGCGUUGCGUACCUUGACGAUGGCAUUUGUUUUUGUCCCAACGACCCUCGCUCGUCGAGCGCUCCCCUUUUUGUUGGGGGCACGAGGCGAAACUUGUAGCUCGGUCCGUUACCCGCGUCGCUUCCGGCUGUCGCGGUGAACGGGGCGCUGCUUAAGCUCUCGGAUAUGGAAAGCGUCGAGGGCAUUGACGUCUCGUCCUUGCCCGAGCAUGCAUUAGUUGGACCCCAACACCGGUGCACGACUGUCGCUCCCGCCUCGGCUCGGCCGUGCGGGCUGGACGUCGCUGAGGGAUGCUACCUGGUUGAUCCUGCCAGUA